rnacentral:rRNA from 1 species
UACGUAGGUGGCAAGCGUUGUCCGGAAUUACUGGGCGUAAAGCGUGCGUAGGUGGUUGUUUAAGUCUGCUGUGAAAGCCCUGGGCUCAACCUGGGAAUUGCAGUGGAUACUGGGCGACUAGAGUGUGGUAGAGGACAGUGGAAUUUCCGGUGUAGCAGUGAAAUGCGUAGAGAUCGGAAGGAACAUCUGUGGCGAAGGCGACUGUCUGGGCCAACACUGACACUGAGGCACGAAAGCGUGGGGAGCAAACAGG